AUUCAUUAAUGGUGGAAUUUGAGAGCUCGGAAGGGACGUCGUGGCUAUGUCUGCUGUUCUGUUUCCUCGGCGGUUCUGCAGGAAGAAAAAAAAUGAUAUCUCACUCCUGAGGGCAGGAAAUACAUUAGCUACUAUGAAGGCAAAUUGCCGGAUACAAAUGUUGACCCUGACAGCUGGGUCUGUGCUCCUCAGUUGUAGGAGAAGAUAACAGACAGCCUUGACCCUUUGGAGCAGGGAAUGAAACGAAUAAGUUUCUCUGAAAAGCAGUGACCUAAAGGAGGGGUUCCCCUCCCCGGAGAACGGCAAAACUGUCAAAACAGAAGCGCCAAGGAAAUUGGCUCUGAGUGGGACUCUAGGAAGCAAAAAACCUCAAGAUGAAGUCUCUCCCAGAUGUGAGACUCGCUGUGGUGAGGGAGCCUAUGCAGAGGCACACAGAUCCUUAAACUGGUGAUGGAGCCCAUGAAACACCUAGAGUGCCCUGCAAAGCCACUCAGCCUGUAUGUGUGUGGACUCUUCCAGAAACAUCACAGACACACACAGGAUGAACAACAAAAGAAGACACACUCUCUCAAAAGACACAAAACAAAAGGACAACCUGAAAAAGUAUGAGAUUUGAUUAUGGUUCACAAAAACACAGAACAGAUAGAUGGAACAAGAAUGACAGAAAUACUUCUGUAGAAUAAUCUUUCAAACUCUUCAAAAGGUUUUUUUAAAAAUCCAAUUUUAAAGGAAUAAAAUGGGUUGAGGACGU
rnacentral:lncRNA from 1 species